rnacentral:RNase_P_RNA from 1 species
AGAGCAGGACAAAUGACCGCUGCCUUGCUUUUUGGCAAGGGGGAGGAAAGUCCGGGCUCCGCAGGACAGGGUGCUGGCUAACGCCCAGUCCCGGCAACGGGAAGGAUAGUGCCACAGAAAGGAAACCGCCCUGUGAGAUAUCCUGGAUAUUUCAUGGUGGUAAGGGUGAAAGGGUGAGGUAAGAGCUCACCAGUCCCGCUGGUGACAGCGGGAGCUAGGUAAACCCCACCUGGAGCAAGACCAAAUAGGGGAACGCUUAAGGGUGGUCCGCCCGAGUUCCCGGGUAGGUCGCUUGACCUCGAUGGUAACAUCGAGGCUAGAUGAAUGGUCAUUGUCCCAAAAGUGGGUAACUGCUUUGGGAAACAGAACCCGGCUUAUGGCCUACUCUCGCA